GAGAGGGGGUGACUAGUGACAGAGUGAGUGGGUGACUAGUGACAGAGUGAGGAAGGGGGUGACACAGUGACAGAGUGAGGAAGGGGGUGACACAGUGACAGAGUGAAGGAGGUGGUGACUGUCACUAGUCACCCCAUCCCUCCCUCUGUCACUAAUCACCACCUCCGUCACUCUGUCACUAGUCACCCCUCCCCUCCCUCUCUCUGUCACUAGUCACUCCUCCCCUCCCUCUCUCUGUCACUAGUCACCCCCUCCCUCUCUCUGUCACUAGUCACCCCCUCCCUC